AUUGAACGCUGGCGGCAUGCCUUACACAUGCAAGUCGAACGGUAACAGGGACUUCGGUCCGCUGACGAGUGGCGAACGGGUGAGUAAUAUGUAGGAAUAUACCUGUAGGUGGGGGAUAACUACUCGAAAGAGUAGCUAAUACCGCAUAAUAUCUACGGAUUAAAGCAGGGGAUCGUAAGACCUUGUGCCAAUAGAAUAGCCUACAUCCGAUUAGCUAGUUGGUAGAGUAAAAGCCUACCAAGGCAACGAUCGGUAACUGGUCUGAGAGGAUGAUCAGUCACACUGGAACUGAGACACGGUCCAGACUCCUACGGGAGGCAGCAGUGGGGAAUUUUGGACAAUGGGCGAAAGCCUGAUCCAGCAAUGCCGCGUGGGUGAAGAAGGCCUUCGGGUUGUAAAGCCCUUUCGGAUAGAAAGAAAACUCUUACUCUAACAUAGUGAGAGAAUGACGGUGCUAUCAUAAGAAGCACCGGCUAACUACGUGCCAGCCGCCGCCGUAAUAC
rnacentral:rRNA from 1 species